rnacentral:misc_RNA from 1 species
UCCACGUGGCGGUGUGCGAGAGAAGUUCUUUGAUCGUCUGUGUGAACUUUCAACAUCAUCAGCCAUAUCAUCUGGCGAUGCAGUUUAUCAGCUAUCCAGCUGCACUGUUAUUUAUCACUGUUUUAAUGGCCUCCCUUCCUUUCUAUUGAUACUUUACCACUGAGAAAAUAUUAGUGUUAAAGGACUUUAUCACAUUAUAUAUCUAAUAAUUUAAAAGUUUGUAGUGGAUUGCUGGUGGGGUUUAUAUAUCGCGUCAAUUAAUCAGUGAAAAUCUGAACAAGAACUUUGAGACAACAGAACUCUGUUAUCGAAUCGCAAGUGUUUCUAAAGUGCACACAUUCAUUAUACUAAAUUUUGGUUCAAAGUGGCUGAAGAACGACAUCCGAUGGCUCAGCGUUAAGUCUGAGGGCUUAUAGCGCAAAAACUCGGGAUUAGAUACCUACGGUUGGCAGAGCACAGGCAACCCAUCGUGUAGCUUUGCGCUUAGCAACAAACACAUAAAUCACAUGAUUAAGAAAAAAGCGAAAACACCGGUCAGUCACUAAAUGAAAACGCAACAACUGACGACAUGGAUUCUACCUGGUCUUGUCUCGAAUUCAUAUAUCUUAUGACCUUAUCAUCGAAUAUAGUUAGACAUUGCAUCUUAGAUCACUGAUCUUCAGCAUAAAUCUAUGAGAUAUAUGAUCUAUAGUUUCUUUUUAUUGUUAAACCUGCUGCUAUGCCAUAAAAUAGUAUAUUAUUCUUCUAAACUAUUAUUUCGUUUUAUAUUUUACUGGUAUAAAACAUUUAAAGUUGGAGUACCAAAAUACACCUGUCAAUGGAUUACAUUAGAAAUUUACUUCAGGAAGUCCUAAGCAUAAUAUAUAAUUGUGAUUUAAUAAUAGGAUACUCGUUUUUUUAUUCUUAUGUGUUUCAAUAAUUAAUGUAUGAAACAUUUAUUUUUCCAUACACUAAGCAAAGUCUUUUGCGAAAUCUUUCAAGGAAGUUGCAGUACGUAAAAGAAAUACACUGAAGCGUAAAAUGAUGCAUAACUCAAAGUGAUGACUCAUAAUUCGACUACGUGAUAUUCAAACGAACACAAUAACGCAUGAUUUGAUAUUAUAAGUCUUAUAAUAACUUAAGUCUUCUAACGUCAAAACCUUUAUUAACAGUUUAUUUGGGAUUAACGAUAAUUCAUUGUGAGCUUCAUAGCUUAGGUUUCUACUUUUGAUUGUCUUCUAAGUGUUUAACUUUUUUACUUUCUUACAGACCAAUGAUUCAAUAUAUCGAAUGCUAAAACCAUCCUACUUUGUUAAACCGUUACAGUUGGAUAAAUAGUGUAUAAGCACAGAAUCAAGCUUGUUAAAAAAUACCCUAACGUGUGAUUUUAAGGACAAGAAAAGCGUAUACAUUAAGGUCAUGAAAUCCGGGUAAUAAUUACUCACCUCCUGUUUCGUGGUUAAAAUAACUCGAUGCUCGAAACAACCAUGAAAUUAAGACGAAUGAAAAAACAAAAACAUUCUGGUUUAAAACUUACAAAUAUAUACAUAUAUGUGUAUAUAAGCAAUGAAUUAAGUUUGAAAGAGAUAUUUCGUUUUGUUUUUUAAGUUUAGGCUAGAGUUACAAGUCAUCCGAAAUGUUUUAAAUGAUAACACUCACCUGUGUUGAAGCUUGUAUACUGACGUUGCU